rnacentral:rRNA from 1 species
UACGUAGGGGGCAAGCGUUGUCCGGAAUCACUGGGCGUAAAGCGCGCGCAGGCGGUCAUCUACGUCUGGGGUGAAAGCCCGGAGCUCAACUCCGGGAUUGCCUUGGAUACGGGAUGACUUGAGGAUCGGAGAGGCAAGGGGAAUUCCACGUGUAGCGGUGAAAUGCGUAGAGAUGUGGAGGAACACCUGUGGCGAAGGCGCCUUACUGGCCGAUUUCUGACGCUGAGGCGCGAAAGCGUGGGGAGCAAACAGG